UGGCUCAGUAGCUUAGUGGUAGAGCAGGGGAUUCAUAAGCCCAAGGUCGCAGGUUCAAUUCCCGCCUGAGCCAUC
rnacentral:tRNA from 1 species